rnacentral:rRNA from 1 species
UACAGAGGGUGCAAGCGUUAAUCGGAAUUACUGGGCGUAAAGGGCGCGUAGGUGGCUAAGUAAGUUGGAUGUGAAAUACCUGGGCUUAACCUGGGAACUGCAUCCAAAACUGCUUGGCUAGAGUAAGGUAGAGGGAAGUGGAAUUUCCGGUGUAGCGGUGAAAUGCGUAGAUAUCGGAAGGAACACCAGUGGCGAAGGCGGCUUCCUGGACCUAUUACUGACACUGAGGCGCGAAAGCGUGGGGAGCAAACAGG